AAAUGAUACUGAACUAUUUUUGCGAUGUGUUCCUAAUAUGUAAUAUGAAUGUAUUGGGAACAUUUUGCAUUCAUAGUUUUGUGUCAAUAAU
rnacentral:pre_miRNA from 15 species